GGUUUGAUUAUGGCUCAGAUUGAACGCUGGCGUGGGAUGCUUUACACAUGCAAGUCGAACGGCAGCACGGACUUCGGUCUGGUGGCGAGUGGCGAACGGGUGAGUAAUGUAUCGGAACGUGCCUAGUAGCGGGGAUAACUACGCGAAAGCGUAGCUAAUACCGCAUACGCCCUUCGGGGGAAAGCGGGGGACCUUUCUCGUGUGGCCUCGCAGCACUAUUAGGAGCGGCCGAUAUCGGAUUAGCUAGUUGGUGGGGUAACGGCUCACCAAGGCGACGCGAUCCGUAGCUGGUUUGAGAGGACGACCAGCCACACUGGGACUGAGACACGGCCCAGACUCCUACGGGAGGCAGCAGUGGGGAAUUUUGGACAAUGGGGAAAAACCCUGAUCCAGCCAUCCCGCGUGUGCGAUGAAGGCCUUCGGGUUGUAAAGCACUUUUGGCAGGGAAAGAAACGGCAUCGGGAUAAUACCCCGUGCAACUGACGGUACCUGCAGAAUAAGCACCGGCUGACUACGUGCCAGCAGCCGCGGUAAUACGUAGAUGCAAGCGUGUGUUAAUCGGAAUUACUGGGCGUAAAAGCGUGCGCAGGCGGUUCGGAAAGAAAGAUGUGAAAUCCCAGAGCUUAACUUUGGAACUGCAUUUUAACUACCGAGCUAGAGUGUGUCAGAGUGGAGGUGGAAUUCCGCGUGUAGCAGUGAAAUGCGUAGAUAUGCGGAGGAACACCGAUGGCGAAGGUAGCCUCCUGGGAUAACACUGACGCUCAUGCACGAAAGUGUGGGGAGCAAACAGGAUUAGAUACCCUGGUAGUCCACGCCCUAAACGAUGUCAACUAGCUGUUGGGGCCUUCGGGCCUUGGUAGCGCAGCUAACGCGUGAAGUUGACCGCCUGGGGAGUACGGUCGCAAGAUUAAAACUCAAAGGAAUUGACGGGGACCCGCACAAGCGGUGGAUGAUGUGGAUUAAUUCGAUGCAAACGCGAAAAACCUUACCUACCCUUGACAUGUCUGGAAUCCCGAAGAGAUUUGGGAGUGCUCGCAAGAGAACCGGAACACAGGUGCUGCAUGGCUGUCGUCAGCUCGUGUCGUGAGAUGUUGGGUUAAGUCCCAACGAGCGCAACCCUUGUCAUUAGUUGCUACGAAAGGGCACUCUAAUGAGUACUGCCGGUGACAAACCGGAGGAAGGUGGGGAUGACGUCAAGUCCUCAUGGCCCUUAUGGGUAGGGCUUCACACGUCAUACAAUGGUCGGGACAGAGGGUCGCCAACCCGCGAGGGGAGCCAAUCCCAGAAACCCGACCGUGGUCCGGAUCGCAGUCUGCAAAAACUCGACUGCGUGAAGUCGGAAUCGCUAGUAAUCGCGGAUCAGCAGUGAUGUCGCGGUGAAUACGUUCCCGGGUCUUGUACACACCGCCCGUCACACCAUGUAGGGGAGUGGGUUUUACCAGAAGUAGUUAGCCUAACCGUAAGGAGGGCGAUUACCACGGUAGGAUUCAUGACUGGGGUGAAGUCGUAACAAGGUAG
rnacentral:rRNA from 1 species